CCGUAGGUCCAACACCGGAAACCGUAGGUUCUGAAACUCACCGGAAUAGGGCACAGACGCCGGAAAAUCACCCAAAACGUCCAUCAAGCAAAGAGAAAGUCAUCGGAUAACGCCAAAACUCUAGGUCCGAAAGUCGGAAAACCCUAGAAUUUGAAGAACUCGUCGGAAUAAAACCAGAAAUGCCAGAAAAUUACCCAAAGCAUCCACUGAUACAAGAUCGGAACCUGAAAGCUCCGAUUAUCCGCUCAACACUCAUUGAAAAGUCUCCAAACAGUAUCUCCUACUGAUAACCAUGAGAAAAGCUUCAGCAAAAGCUUCUAACAGGAUCGAUAACACGCAACUGAGAAGGAUCCGAAGAUCAUGUGGCUCUGAUACCAUGAAAACGUGAAGAUUAAGCUGAAGAACAUGGAGGAUAUAGUGAGUGAAAUAAGAGAGAGAAAGGGAGUAGUUGAGAGAAGCCUCCAGAAGAUCGAGA
rnacentral:lncRNA from 1 species